AACUAUAAAAAAAUAAAGCAAACAAAUAACAACAAAAUUUAUGUGAUUCACCCUCUCAUCAUAGGUGACAUCCAUGGACUUGCUCUCUUCCACUAACAUCAAUAAUAAAAUCAUCAAUUACAAGUUUCAAAUUAUACUAUCUAUCAUCUUAACUACACUCAAGAAAACUUUUACUACAUAACUGUUUAUCACUACAUAACUAUUUGUGGUAAAUACAUUAACUACUCCGUCCAAGUCUCCUCUAAAUAAAAUUUAAUAUAUUUACUACUUAAAAGACAUUAUACACCACAAAAGAUGUUUUCAACUACAUGGACAAGAGCACUCUUGUCAAUAGAUAAAAAUUCUUUUCUCUUGAAUUUUAUAGUGCAGCUCUUCUUAAUGGAACAAAGCUCUUUUCAAUGAAUUGAAAGCCACUCUUUUCAAUGGACGAGAGCUCAUCUUUGCAAUAGGCAAGAGCUCCUCUUAAUGGAUAAAGCCAAAUAAUAUCUCCACACCAAUUCUUUAGUGUUAAAUUAUGUGGGUUAGUGUUAGGCCACUUUCAAUAGGUGCCUUUCAAGUGUUGUCCUUAAUUAAGCAUUUUAAUACUAUCAUCAAGUCCUUAUUAAAUUAAUAAUGAUCAUCAUUAUUGUGUUUAGCAUAAGCAAAGGGAUUGAUUGCAUAUCAAGGCACUCACUCGUGUGCACUUGUUUUUUUUUAAAUGUUAGCAAGAGGAGAGAGAUUAGCCCCCUGUAUACCUAGGAAAGAAAUUUAAUUAGUAGAUAAUAUAACCUUAAUGAAACCUCUAAUCAAAUACCAUGUGAUGUGAACCCAUUUCAAGCUUUUAGACCCUUUUUUUUCUACAAACAAGUUGAGAGCCUAAAACGCGUUGGUUUUGGUUCCACCAAAUCUCAUGCUUAUCUUUAAAAUACAUAUUCGAACUUUUUUUUAAAGAAAAAUACACAUUUGGCGGAAAAUAUUAUAUUUUUUAUAUCCACACACAUCUGUAGAUCAAAACUUAAAAUACUUUCGUAAAUGAAAUUAUUCGAAUGUAAAUAUACCACUACAUUAAGAAAUUAGUGAUGAGUUCAAUUGAAUAAAUUUUUUUUAUUAUCUGAAUCAAUUUUUUAAGAAAAAAAAAAUGAUAAAUAAAACUUUAACUUGCCAAUACAACUAACGUAGCACAAACACUAAAAAGGUGGAAAAGACAAUGUGGGUUAGGAAGUUUAAGCUUAAAAGUGUUAUCAUAUGAAGCAAAAUGGGAUUAUGAAAUAGUACACAAGUUGAUUAGAGGUUUGAAUCAACCUAACCAAUUAGAAACCAUCCUGAAUCCGUGACAAAUGAAACAAAACAGAUGGUUUGCUUGUCAAAUUCAAGCACUGAUAAAUUAAUAAACAAUUGAAACAAAAUGACAAGUUUCAAUUAUUUAAUUACAAAAUUCCAUUACAGGGAGCAAUCAAACCCAUUGGAAGUUGCUUUGUCUUUUAUAUAAAUCACAUGAUUUGAUAACAUCUUUCUUCUGCAUCCAGCUGUGAAGCUUUUAGAACAUUUCAAUUGGUAGAGGCACCAAAUUAUCCAUUGGAAGUAGUUAAGAGAAGAGACUGGAUGAGUAGGAAUCUCAAUUACUUAAAGGGAAAAAAAAAAACCUGAUUGAACUAAUCUCACUAUUUUGCUUUCUGCAUCAGAACUAUCUUUUCUAAUUAUAAUGUCUAAAGACUGUUUUUGUUUAGUGGCUGUGAUUAAUUAUUAGUGAUCAUUAAUUGGUGUGAUUACAGUUAAUCAAGAUGAAAACUCUUUUAUAAUCAAUUAAGAAUAAUUUAGAAUUAUUUAUUUUAAAUGCACCAAAUUGAUAUAGUGUGCCUUUAAAAUAUGGUCAAAAGGUGAAAUCCCUUAUGGGUGAGAUAACUUUAAAAAUUAGAGAAGAAAAGAAUGCAGGGUUGGAUUAUUUAAAAGGGCUGCAUUUAGAGCUAAAUUUCUUAUAUUUUAUUAGUUUAGUGAGAGACCAUAACCAUGGUCUAAGUGAUUUACACCAGAUUCAAUAUUAAUUUCAUAUUGAGCUUUCCUUUAAGCCUGUCUCACUCAAGGAGGCAAACUUUCUGGCAUGCCAUAGGGCAUGGGCUCAAUCUGAUUCUCCUCAG
rnacentral:misc_RNA from 1 species